AUACACAUCACUAAGUCAGUAUUUGAAUUUAGUUGGACUUGUCAAAAUUAAUGAAAAUGUUGUUUUAUGUGCUACUAGCAAUAACUUAUUCAUAUGUACAUGGUGGUGAAGUAAACAGAAACUCCAGAUUCUUAGUAUCUCCGAACUGCGGCAAUGGAGGGAACUCACAGGCAUGUCUUAACCCAUAUACAGGACAAUGGUAUCCUGUGUGUUGUUUACCACCUUCGACGGGAAUGUGCUGCAGAU